rnacentral:rRNA from 1 species
UUCCUGAAACCGUGUGCCUACAAGUAGUUAGAGCCCGUUAAUGGGUGAUAGCGUGCCUUUUGUAGAAUGAACCGGCGAGUUACGAUUUGUUGCAAGGUUAAGCGGAAAAAGCGGAGCCGUAGCGAAAGCGAGUCUGAAUAGGGCGCAUAAGUAACAGGUCGUAGACCCGAAACCAGGUGAUCUACCCAUGUCCAGGAUGAAGGUAAGGUAAUACUUACUGGAGGUCCGAACCCACGCACGUUGAAAAGUGCGGGGAUGAGGUGUGGGUAGCGGAGAAAUUCCAAUCGAACUUGGAGAUAGCUGGUUCUCUCCGAAAUAGCUUUAGGGCUAGCCUCGAGGUAAAGAGUCAUGGAGGUAGAGCACUGUUUGGACUAGGGGCCCUUCUCGGGUUACCGAAUUCAGAUAAACUCCGAAUGCCAUGUACUUAUACUCGGGAGUCAGACUGCGAGUGAUAAGAUCCGUAGUCGAAAGGGAAACAGCCCAGACCACCAGUUAAGGUCCCCAAAUAUAUGUUAAGUGGAAAAGGAUGUGGGGUUGCUUAGACAACCAGGAUGUUGGCUUAGAAGCAGCCACCAUUGAAAGAGUGCGUAAUAGCUCACUGGUCGAGUGACCCCGCGCCGAAAAUGUACCGGGGCUAAACAUAUUACC